CACCUCCUUCGUUUCAGUAGUGUCAUUUGAGCCUCGCACAGUGACCAGUCUUCAGGCUACAGUAUAUAAAUACCAAAAAAUAAAUAAUCUUCAUUAAGUUCGUGCGUGUGAUGCAGAUAAGAAUGAUGAGAUUAACAUCCUUCCUGAUCAUCUUGACCAUUCUAUUGGCUGUUCAAGCAAGAUACUUUAAGAAAUGCAGUUCAAGUUCGGAGUGCAGAGUUGGGGAAUGCUGUUCUCGAGGACGCUGCAAACAAAAAAUUUUACCAGGAUACCGCUGUAACUUGUAUCGAAUGCUUUUAAGCCUACAAUGUCCAUGCACCCCUGGAUUUACUUGUAUGGUAAAGUCACGUGUUAAUAACCGAGAGAGACGAACCUGUCAGGCCAUUAAUUGGAGACCCAACUUAGAUGGAGAGGAGGUUCAAGAAAUGUUUGAGAAGUUUCAUUGAUGGUUAAACUGUGAUAUUACAAUUAUCUUCACAAACCAAAAUUGCAUGUAUGAUUAAAAAGAUUUUGCAUCAUAGCAUAGCUAUAUAUUCGGACCAAUAAAGAAUUCUUUAUGGAAAGUGCAUAAAUUCUUUAUUUUGUUUUACCAGACCGCAAAGAAUGUCGAUUUCAAUGUAAUUUAGGAUGCUCCGUAUAUCCCGGUGGAACUUUAUAUGCAUCCUUCUCAUACAUUUGCCCCAAAUAUAAUUAAUCAUACAGUUCCCUCCUAUUUAUAUUUUAGGAUCUUUAUAGAUUAAAGCCUUUCACGUGACUAUUUCAUCAAUCUAUGGCACAGCAACAUUUUUUAAGGAACAUAGAAAACCAAGAAAAGAAAGUUGGAUGGGCUGGUAACUACAUGCAGAAACUUGUCAUAGUGCCUUUUCUAAAAUGAGAUGCAAAAAAGAGAAGUGAUGAAAGCAUAAUGACAUAUGCAUGUCAAAAGGAAAGACUGUACGGCUAUCAAAGUCAUACACCACAAACCAUGUCACCUAAACUACUGCCGCUUGUUGAUGCAAAGAGAGCAUAGAACUGCGGUUGAGAGUUUAAAUCAUUUUGAAGAUCUUUACAGAACAAGUUAUAUGACGUUAUUUCUUCUAAUGUGUAUGUGAGAUUUAUACAGUCUAUUUUUUUAACAAAGUAAAAAUUUGAUGGUUUUGAUGUAAAUAUCUAUCGUGUAAAUGAGUGAUUAUAUUCAGCUUAUUUUA